rnacentral:rRNA from 1 species
GACGAACGCUGGCGGCGUGCUUAACACAUGCAAGUCGAACGGAAAGGCCCUGCUUUUGUUGGUUUCUCGAGUGGCGAACGGGUGAGUAACACGUGAGUAACCUGCCCUUGUCUUUGUGAUAACUUCAGGAAACUGGGGCUAAUAUCGGAUAUGAUCUCCUGCUGCAUGGGGGGGGAUGGAAAGUUUCGGCGGUUGUGGAUGGACUCGCGGCUUAUCAGCUUGUUGGGCGAGUAGUGGCUUACAACGGCUUUCAAGGGUAGCCGGCCUGGGAGCGUGACCGGGCACCAUGGGCCUGAGGUAGGGACCAGACUGCUACGUGCGGCAGCAGUGGGGAACAUGGCACAAUGGGCGGAAGCCUGAUGUAGAGAUGCUGCGUUCGGGAUGACGGCCUUCGAGUUGUAAACAGAUUUGGACUGUGACGAGGCGUUCGUGACGGUACCGGGUCAAGAAGCACCGGCUAACUACGUG